rnacentral:rRNA from 1 species
GGCUCAGAUUGAACGCUGGCGGCAUGCUUUACACAUGCAAGUCGAACGGUAACAGGUCUUCGGAUGCUGACGAGUGGCGAACGGGUGAGUAAUGCAUCGGAACGUGCCCAGUCGUGGGGGAUAACGCAGCGAAAGCUGUGCUAAUACCGCAUACGAUCUAUGGAUGAAAGCGGGGGAUCGCAAGACCUCGCGCGAUUGGAGCGGCCGAUGUCAGAUUAGCUAGUUGGUGGGGUAAAGGCCCACCAAGGCGACGAUCUGUAGCUGGUCUGAGAGGACGACCAGCCACACUGGGACUGAGACACGGCCCAGACUCCUACGGGAGGCAGCAGUGGGGAAUUUUGGACAAUGGGCGCAAGCCUGAUCCAGCAAUGCCGCGUGCAGGAAGAAGGCCUUCGGGUUGUAAACUGCCUUUGUACGGAACGAAAAGGUCUGGGUUAAUACCCUGGGCUCAUGACGGUACCGUAAGAAUAA